rnacentral:rRNA from 1 species
GAUGAACGCUGGCGGCGUGCCUAAUACAUGCAAGUCGAGCGAACAGACGAGGCGCUUGCUCCUCUGACGUUAGCGGCGGACGGGUGAGUAACACGUGGAUAACCUACCUAUAAGACUGGGAUAACUUCGGGAAACCGGAUCUAAUACCGGAUAAUAUAUUGAACCGUAUGGUUCAAUAGUGAAAGACGGUUUUGCUGUCACUUAUAGAUGGAUCCGCGCCGCAUUAGCUAGUUGGUAAGGUAACGGCUUACCAAGGCAACGAUGCGUAGCCGACCUGAGAGAGUGGUCGGCCACACUGGAACGGGGACACGGUCCAGACUCCUGCGGGAGGCAGCAGUAGGGAAUGUUACGCAAUGGGCGAAAGCCUGACGGAGCAACGCCGCGUGAGAGAUGAAGGUCUUCGGAGCGUAAAGCUCUGUUAUUAGGGAAGAACAAAUGUGUAAGUAACUAUGCACGUAUUGACGGUACCUAGUCAGAAAGCCACGGCUAACUACGUG